rnacentral:rRNA from 1 species
AUACGGAAGGUGCGAGCGUUAUCCGGAUUUAUUGGGUUUAAAGGGUGCGUAGGCGGAUGAUUAAGCGUGAGGUGAAAUGCCACUGCUCAACAGUGGAACUGCCUCGCGAACUGGUUGUCUUGAAUGCUCCUGCCGUGGGAGGAAUGUGUGGUGUAGCGGUGAAAUGCAUAGAGAUCACACAGAACACCGAUUGCGAAGGCAUCUCACGAAGGGGUGAUUGACGCUGAGGCACGAAAGCGUGGGGAUCAAACAGGAUUAGAUACCCUGGUAGUCCACGCAGUAAACGAUGAUGACUAACUGCCGGCCCGUUGCGGGUCGGUGGCCAAGCGAAAGCGAUAAGUCAUCCACCUGGGGAGUACGACCGCAAGGUUGAAACUCAAAUGAAUUGGCGGGG